rnacentral:rRNA from 1 species
AUACAGAGGGUGCAAGCGUUAAUCGGAAUUACUGGGCGUAAAGCGCGCGUAGGUGGUUAGUUAAGUUGGAUGUGAAAGCCCUGGGCUCAACCUGGGAAUGGCAUUCAAAACUGGCUGACUAGAGUAUGGUAGAGGGAAGGGGAAUUCCAGGUGUAGCGGUGAAAUGCGUAGAUAUCUGGAGGAACAUCAGUGGCGAAGGCGCCUUCCUGGACUAAUACUGACACUGAGGUGCGAAAGCGUGGGUAGCAAACGGGAUUAGAAACCCGAGUAGUCC